rnacentral:rRNA from 1 species
CCGUAGGUGACCUGCGGAAGGAUCAUUAGUGAAUAAUAGGACGUCUUCUCUUUGGAGGAGAGUCCGACCUCUCACUUUCUAACACUGUGCACUUAGAUAUUUGGGAAUCAAGCUUGGAAUAGAAUUUUUUGUUCUAUUUCUAUAGCUCCCAAUUACUUUUUAUAACUCUACAAGUUAAAGAAUGUAAUGAUAAACCAUAACAAAAGAAAAACUUUCAACAACGGAUCUCUUGGCUCUCGCAUCGAUGAAGAACGCAGCGAAAUGUGAUAAGUAAUGUGAAUUGCAGAAUUCAGUGAAUCAUCGAAUCUUUGAACGCACCUUGCGCUCCUUGGUAUUCCGAGGAGCAUGUCUGUUUGAGUGUCAUGAACUCUUCAACCCUCCAUUUCCUUGUUUGAAAUGUUUUGAGGUGAUUGGAUUUUGAGUACUUGCUCUUUUGUCAAAAUUAGCUUACUCGUAAUACAUUAGCACAAUUCAACUUCGAACUCGGAUUGACUCGGCGUAAUAGACUAUUCGCUGAGGACAUUGAGAAUUAAAUUUCUCUAAUGGCCGACUUUAGACGAUUUGAAUAGCUUCAAAUACUAUAAACCUUUUUUAAGAUUAGACCUCAAAUCAGGCAGGAUUACCCGCUGAACUUAAGCU